rnacentral:rRNA from 1 species
UACAGAGGUCUCAACCGUUGUUCGGAUUCAUUGGGCGUAAAGGGUGCGUAGGCGGCGCGGUAAGUCGGGUGUGAAAUCUCGGAGCUUAACUCCGAAACUGCAUUCGAUACUGCCGUGCUUGAGGACUGGAGAGGAGACUGGAAUUUACGGUGUAGCGGUGAAAUGCGUAGAUAUCGUAAGGAAGACCAGUGGCGAAGGCGGUUCUCUGGGCCUGACCUGACGCUGAGGAGCGAAAGCGUGGGGAGCGAACAGG